rnacentral:rRNA from 1 species
AUUGAACGCUGGCGGCAGGCCUAACACAUGCAAGUCGAACGAGUGGCGGACGGGUGAGUAAUGUCUGGGAAACUGCCUGAUGGAGGGGGAUAACUACUGGAACCGGUAGCUAAUACCGCAUACCAUCGGAUUUGCCCAGAUGGGAUUAGCUAGUAGGUGGGGUAAAGGCGCACCUAGGCGACGAUCCCUAGCUGGUCUGAGAGGAUGACCGGCAACACGGGAACUGAGACACGGUCCAGACUCCUACGGAGGGCAGCAGUGGGGAAUAUUGGACAAGGGGCGCAAGCCUGAUGCAGCCAUGCCGAGGGUAUGAAGAAGGCCUUCGGGUUGUAAAGUACGUUCAGCGGGGAGGCGUUACCCGCAGAAGAAGCACCGGCUAACUCCGUGCCAGCAGCCGCGGUAAUUC